rnacentral:rRNA from 1 species
AUGGCGACGCGGCAGACGCAGGACUACGGCGGCGACCGGCUGAGCGCACUCCCGGACACGGCGUUGGUGCGCGUGCUGUCCCAUCUCUCGUCCAACGAGGUGGCGCGCGCCUGCGCGCUGUCCCGCCGGUGGCGCCGCGUCUUCGCCGCCGUGCCAGUCGUCGACCUCGUCGACCCCAGGACAGAGACAGGACACCCGGGAGGGGACAUCGCCGUGUGCUUCGACAUGCUGGUGACGAGCGUGAUCUUGGGACAUCAUGCCCACGCGCCGAUCCGCGUCCUCCGGCUCAUCGCGCUCGACACCCCGGUCGGCCUCCUCGACCAGUGGGUCGGCAUCGCCACCUCCUCCGGCGCCAAGGAGGUCGACUUCGAUUUGCACUACCCGUACCUGUCCCGCCGCAAACUCUGCCCCUUCGGGACCAAGAAGGCCUCGGCCGACUUCGACGCGGUCGAACACGGCCAGUACACCAAGACUCCACAGCAGCUCUUCCGGUGCGGCACGCUGCGCCUCCUGCGCCUCACCAAUUGGACGCUCGACCUGCCCUCGUGCUUUGGAGUCGCCGCGUCGCUGGACACACUCUGCCUUAAGCGGAUCAUGGCCACGAACGGGGUCAUCCAGGAGCUGCUCUCCUGCUGCCCCCGCCUCGCCGACCUGACGUUGGAGGAGUGCCCGGGAGCCAGGAAGAUCACCGUGCCGAGCGACCGCCUCCGGAGCUUCGCCAUGGUCUGCUGCCACAAGGGCAAGCGCGUCGUGCUGCAGACCCCACGCCUGCGUUCUCUGCGGUACAAGGGCGGCCUCCCUCGGGACACGUGGUUAAUCUACGCCGAUGACUACGAGGACGUCGCGGCAGUGACCAUCGACAUUUGCGAGGACCUCACCAGCAAAGCACCAAAGCAGGUCGCUCACCUCAUGAAGCUCAUCAGCCGGUGCAAGAACCUGACAUAUCUCCACCUUGCGCUGCUCCCAUCCAUGGCCUACUACUGCAGCGAGUUCAUGGCUGUCCUCGGCAGCCUGCCAGAACUCAGUCAGCUGGUCCUGAAGGGGUUCAUGGCGGCCGAUCACGCCGUCCUGUCUGUCGCUGUACUGCUCGUCAACGCCCGGAACCUGGAAGUGCUCUCGUUGUUUCCUGUCGUUCUCAAGCCCACGGAGAAGAAGACUUGCUCCUCGAGAUACUACCCUGAUUCAGACGACGAGGAGGAGCCCGAGAACUGCAGCGUCGUCGAGGAGGCCGUGGACUAUGAGUGGACGAAUAAGAACCUGCGGCGGAUGAACAUCCCCUGCUUGGGUCAUAGCCUGAGGAGGAUCAACAUUGAAAUGUACACUGGGAAUGCCUUCGACAGGAUACUUGCACGGUUCCUGCUAAACAAGGCUGGGGCGUUGGAGGAAUUCUCGGUGACAUUAUCAGCUCCAGUUUCGGCACAGAAGGAAGAGAUUGCAAUGGAAUUAAGAUCUUGGUUAUAUAAUCCCAGUGCUAUAGUAACUUGUGAAUAG